UACGAAGGACCCGAGCGUUAUCCGGAUUCAUUGGGUUUAAAGGGUGCGUAGGCGGAUUGAUAAGUCAGUGGUGAAAGCCCAUCGCUUAACGAUGGAACUGCCAUUGAUACUGUCGAUCUUGAGUACAUUUGAAGUGGGCGGAAUGUGUCAUGUAGCGGUGAAUGACUUAGAUAUGACACAGAACACCGAUUGCGAAGGCAGCUCACUAAACUGUAACUGACGCUGAGGCACGAAAGCGUGGGGAUCAAACAGG
rnacentral:rRNA from 1 species